rnacentral:rRNA from 1 species
UACGUAGGGUGCGAGCGUUGUCCGGAAUUAUUGGGCGUAAAGGGCUCGUAGGCGGUUUGUCGCGUCGGGAGUGAAAUCCACUGGCUUAACUGGUGGCUUGCUUUCGAUACGGGCAGACUGGAGGUAUGCAGGGGAGAACGGAAUUCCUGGUGUAGCGGUGAAAUGCGUAGAUAUCUGGAAGAACACCAGUGGCGAAGGCGGUCAACUGGCCCGUAACUGACGCUCAGGCACGAAAGCGUGGGUAGCGAACAGG